UACGGAGGGUGCGAGCGUUGUCCGGAAUCACUGGGCGUAAAGCGUCUGUAGGUGGUCAAAUAAGUCAACUGUUAAAUCUUGAGGCUCAACCUCAAAAUCGCAGUCGAAACUAUUAGACUAGAGUAUAGUAGGGGUAAAGGGAAUUUCCAGUGGAGCGGUGAAAUGCGUAGAUAUUGGAAAGAACACCGAUGGCGAAGGCACUUUACUGGGCUAUUACUAACACUCAGAGACGAAAGCUAGGGUAGCAAAUGGG
rnacentral:rRNA from 1 species